rnacentral:lncRNA from 1 species
UUUAACUUUGGUCCAAAGUGUCCAUAUUCACAGUUUAAUUGAGACGAAGAUAAGUUUCUGUUCAUGUGCAUAGUAGUGUUGAAGGAACCCAAUGAGUGAAUGUUCCUGCUGCUUUGCAGGAUUUCAGAUACAGUUACUAACUACUUUCUUCGGCAUUUUUGACACUUUGUUAAUUAUUUAUGGGAUGUGUCUUUCAGGACUAAUGCGGAGCCUCCAAUCUAUUAUUUGCCUAACAAGCCACUAGAGGAAGAUGCAACCUUACUUGAGCAACAAAAAGAGCAGGUUAUUUUCCUGCUGUGUUUAGGCCUAUUGGCUGAUAUGAAAGCGUUUUAGAUAUUAUAGCAACUUCAUUCUCUUUUUAUUAAUAAAACACUGAAUACCUAGAGAGGUGGUCUAUUUUUUAUGCUCUAUUAGCAACAUUAAUUUUCAAAUCCCAUUUUUAUAGAAUGGGCAGGGAUUGUGUGUAUCGGCAUAGUGCUACAAAUAAAUGCGCUGUCACCGAAAGAGUUCCCUGCUAAAGAAAAAUCAGCUGAGGGAGAUGGGCAGUUGUGCUUCAUCUGACUUGUUGGGAGUUUCAAUAAUCAUCUUCCUCAUAUUACAUUUUUAUCCUACUCUAUUGCUUAAGAGAUGGAUUUUUUUUUAAAGAAUUCUUUUCUAUUCCAAUCUUCUCUUCUUUUCGGCCGUCCUCAGAUGCAUGAGGGAGUGGUGGUGGUCUGGAAUGUUUUUGAACAGUCAUAUUCCAUUAGGUUUGUGCAGAAUGUAUCAUACAGUAUGUUCAUCACAUUUCAGACAUUGUCGGAAUGGAAGGCUACUAGGAGAGAGGAACUGUCUGAAUAUCAGAAGCAGAUUGCAGAACAGUACCUUGGUAAUGUUGAAAAGGAUUUAGAAAGGUGGCAAAAUGCGAGGAAAGCAAGGAGACCAAACAAUGACGCAAAUUUACAAGAGACAAUGGACAAAGAAUUAGACACCCAUAGGCUUGAGCACGGUCCCAAGACAAGAAAGAUCCCCGGGGGAAGCAACAACGAAGAUGAGGAGGAUGUGGAGGAUAUCAAUGUUGGGGAAGAUGACAUGAUGGAUGAUGUGCUGGUAGUUGAUGACAAUGUUAGAAGGGACGAUGAAGCAGCCAAGCCUGAAACUGGUAGCACUAGCGGCAGUGCACC